AAGGCAUGAUGAGGACAUUUCCUAAAAAUUUCCUUAAAUCUCUCCUAACUCUCAUAAAUGGAAUUGCAUUCUAACUGAGUAAAAGAAGUAAUAUCAUAUCUAAAUUU